UGUGGAUGCAAAAUACUGGCUAGAGCAUGAGCCAAAUGCAAAAUGGUGACGUGGGAUCAAAAUGGCUGAAUUUGGCAGGACACAGGGCUGUCCACAGGGUGUAGUCGAAGGAGCAAUGAUGGCUAGGAUAGCAUGAUAGAAACUUUUUAUGCUGUUGCCUAUAAAAAGCAGCAGAAGUUCAGUGACUCCGUUGUGGCUGCCAUCUUGACUUUUCUGACUGUGGACUCUCCUGGUGGGUUACAGAUAGAAUAGAAUAACAGAGUUGGAAGGGACCUUGGAGGUCUUUUAGUCCAACCCCUUGCUCAAGCAGGAGACCCUGUAUCAGUCAAUCAGAAUAGAGCUGGAAAGGACCUUAGAGGUCUUCUAGUCUAACUCCUUGCUCAGGCAGGAAACUCUAUAUCAUUUCAAACAAAUGGUUGUCCAAUCUCUUCUUAAAAACUUCCAGUGUUGGAGCAUUCACAACUUCUGGAGGCAAGUCGUUCCACUGAUUAAUCAAGCAGUUAAUGAGUGGAGAUCCUUAUGAUGAGUCUUGCAGCUGGUUCAUAUUGUGGAUUCCUUUGAGCUUGCCCUGGAAGCUACACAUUUAAAGGGUCUGCAAAAGAGAUGACUGAUGGGAGAUGAGAUAGCAGUCUUCAAAUUUGUGUUAUUCUCUGUUGCCCAGAGGUCUGAAACUUUGGGAAAAUAGAUUCAGGUUAAAUGUGAAAAGCAAUUUCCUAAUAGUGGGCUUCUCUCUUGAUGGAGCACUGAAGAAAUCUUCUCUUCACUGGAGGUUUUCAAGCCCAGCGAAGGAAUGGAUUAAAUCAGGGGGUUCAAUCUUGGCAACUUUUAAAACUCCCCGAAUUCCUCAAUUCUGAGAAUUGAAGUCCAAAAGUAUUAAGCCUGGGGAAUUCUGGGAAUUGAAAUCCACAAGUCUUAAAGUUGCCAAGCUUGGAGACUCCUGGACUAAAUGACCACUAAUGUCCCUUCCAGCUCUAGGAUCCUUUGAAAACAGAUUCGGUUGAUGCUGAAUUUUAACAGCCCAGUCUUAAGGGCUCUGGGGCUGAAGAACUUAGCUGAAGGGCUCACAUGACCCUCACAUUACUCACUGUCUAUCCCUCAUUUAAUAUGAGGAUUAAUCCUGGUAAUUGUGAUUCUUUAAACAAACCUGGAUGUGGCUAUGGUUUAGCAUUGCAUGUGAAUUAAGUUACAAUUUCAUGUUCUUGGCUAAUUCCUCUCAAAUCCUUUACCCAAUUCUGUGAGUUGAAGCCCACACACUUAAGAUUGCCAAGGUUGAGAAACACUGAUUUAAAAGGUGUUUCCAGACACUUUCUAACCUAUAUUCUAGGUGGCCGGUCCAGAACUUCCCAGGUGUCAUAAUCCUGGAGCUUCUUCUGAAUGUCCUCUAAGAAAACAAGCAAAGGAGGGAGACAGGAGGUUGCUGGAGGACCUCAUGUUCUCUGCAGUUGGAGAGGAUGGGCCCCUUCUUUAUCUUUGAACCGGGUCCCUGAGGUUGGCUGCUGCACUCCUUGCCCCAAGUUAUCAUGGACCUGACUUGAUGAUGGGGAAACCUGAUGAAGUCAAUCACUAUGGUUUGUCUCAUAAAUCCACAGAGCCAUCUGGUAUGACUUUAUGAUAAUUCAGCUAAAUCCUAGAUGAGCUAAUUCCAUAAAUUUAUGCGAGAUGUUUUGAAUUCUGAAAUAGUGCCAGUUCAGAGGGUCAAUAUUGUUGUUGUUGGCCCAUAUUCCUGCAAAACUGGCCAGAAUGUUUUCCUUGGGUACUGGGCACCCAGUUUAGGUGAACUCGAUUUAGUGCUAUCUAUCUCUCUAUCUCUCUAUUUCUCUCUCUCUCUAUCUGUCUAUUUAGUGAAUGGCAGAGUAAUGGAUAACAGUAGUAAAAAUAUAUAAAAGGAACACGUAAUACACGUGUGAAGGAAAUAUGUACAUAAGUACUUAAGUUCCUUUUACUUGCAACCACAAUGGAACCCAAAAUUUUUGUUGCUAAGUGAGACAGUUAAGUGAGUUUUGUCCUAUUUUACCACCUUUCUUGACACAGUUGUUAAGUGAACCUGACUUUGCUUGUCAGAAGGUUGCAAAAGGUGAUCACAUGACCCCGGGACUCUACAACCGUCAUAAACAUGAGUCAGUUGCAAAGCAUCCGAAUUUUGAUCACAUGACCAGGGGGAUGCUGCAAUGGUCGUAAAUGUGAAAAAUGAUCAUAAGUCACUUUUUUCAGUGCCGCUGCAACUUUGAAAGGUCACUAAACAAACGGUUGUAAGUCGAGGAUCAAUUUUGUAAGGUAUGAGGAAUUCAAAAGUUAGUUAUAGGUUAUGUUUUAAAAUACGUCAGCUCACGAGAAUGGGAUAAGUAUUCUAUAUAUGAACAUCUUCUAGUGCUGACCCAGGCAGAGACCCCUACUGCCCUCCCUCUCCCCUUCCGCCCUGCUGGUUUCCCAGGACCCCUUGCAGGACAGGUGUUCUCUGGCUUCUGCGCUUUCCUCUAAGAAGAGACACCUGAUAAAUCAUCAGAAGUUAAUGAUCAAAAGGCUUAUCUGAGCCUUUUCGUUUAUAAAUGUAUAAGACAAAAGAGAAAUAAUAAAGCCACUGGAUAAUUAGUAACCAGUCCAGUCCUGAAACGUUGGAAACCAAGCUGACCCUAGAUCUCCACGCAGAGUCAGGGCGACUUGGGGGAUGAGAAGAAGGGGUCAUCUGAAGGGCAGGUAGCUUGGAAGCUGAACCCCAGAAGGGGAAUUAGCGAAGGGAGAUGAGUGGGGAAGGUCUCCCUAGCUGCAACAGAGGAAGAAGAGGAGGAAGAAGCCCAGAAGCUUGUCUGCUUCACCCCACAGGUGGAAGAUACUUCUGCCAUCAACACAGUUCUUCACAGCACCCGACCUUCAUAAACAGCUUGUUCCCCGUUUGGUUCUAUGGGGUUCCUGCACGCCGAUUCCUCCGAGCAAUAUUUGAAAUGGGCCCCUCAAAAAACAGAAUGUGGAAGGUUGUUUUCUGCUUUGACCGAGAAAGGAUUUUUUCCCUCCCAGAUGUGCCUGAAAUGUCCACUGUCCCUCCACCCUCUUUCAGGAUUGUCAGCCUGGAUCUCAUUGCCAGCCUUGGGAUAAACCUCUGAAGUUUAGGUUAGUUGGGAUCCCUAAACCACUCCUGGGGUCAUCUUUCUCUCACCAGGCCCCUCUCCAUACACAUUGGACUGCAUCUUCCAUCCUCCCCAGCCAAUGCCUCCUUCCGAGGGAUCCUAUUGGGGAAAGGGGUCCCAAAGUGAAGGAGGAAGAAGACAGAGCCAUGGACGAAGGGAGAGAGAAGGGCGAGGAGGAAACUAGAGGCAGGCGUGCUCUUACUGUAAUAAUCUCUCCACCACGGCUUUCUGGUGAGCAGCUUCUUCUGGGCUCAGGUUUUCCAGUUCCUUCAUGAUUGGAGGAGUGAAGUCUUCCCCAUCGUCUGAGGUCUCCUCCUCUGACAUCCUGGACUCCCCCAUUCCAUUGGGGAGAUGCGGGAUCAUCUCGCUACAAGGCUCCCCCUUAUCCACUUGGAGGGCUCCACCGAGCUGCUGGUUGUCCCUGUGGUGCAAUUCGGACUCCGCCAGAGCCUUGAUCAGGGUCUCCUUGCUGAGCCCCGAUUCCAGCAGGGCUCCCAGCAGCUCCACCUGAAGAUGGGUCAGUUUGGAGACCAUGGUCCCAGCUGUCCUCCUUGCCUGGAACUUGCGCGUUCAACACCUUUUGGGGCUACAUCAUGUUUCCAAAGUCAGCCAUCCAGCCGUCAGCGGAGUAGAAAUGGCCGCAGAUCUUCUUUUGGCACCCCCACCCCCAAUUUCCCCAAGACCAAAAAAAGAGAAAAGGCUGCCUUAGGCCCCCCACCACUGUCCUGAGCCAGUCCUGAUAAAGGGACCCUCGCCUUUCUGUUUACAUUGGAGCAAUGCAAAUUCUCCAAGGUUCAUAUUUAUCUGUGUGCUUAGGCAAGUAGCUGAACUUUGGACUUCGGCAUUGCAACAGCAGUUCACAAAGUGCGUUAGGAGGGAGGGAGGGAGAGCGAAAAUGGGGGAGAGGAAGAGAGAGGAGGAAGGCUUAUGGAGAGAAGGGCCAGGGACGAGGACAAGGACCCCACACCAAGAUCCUCUUGCAUUUGUGGGAAAAGGAGCUUCCAAUCAAGGCGGGAGGUUGAGGGACCUCAUCUAAGUAGCUCCAUGGAAGACUGAUAUCUCAGAUGGGCUCCCCUCCCUCUCCUCUAGGUUAAUGGAGAGCCAUCUCCGGCAUGGAUGGCCCUGUUGCAGGGCAGGCGUUGAGAUGAAGCACAACAGGGAGUAUGUCCCAUGCUCUGCUACCUGCUUGGUGUGACUUUCUUGGUUGCCUCGUCAUGGGACCUUCUGCCUUGAGCUAAAGGCUGCUUCCCAGACCUUGCUGGUCUGUUUCCUUCUUUGGCAACCAAACUUCAGCCGGAGCAUCCCUGCUUCCUCUUGUAGGGAAGGGAAAGAAACAACUUUAACCCCAAGCAUAAGGGAAGAGGGUGAAAGGAAGGCACCCAAUAGAAACGUGGAUCCUGCUUCAUUCCAGUUCUAUCGUGGGUCAUAGAAAAAUCACGUUCUUUCCAUUCCAGCUCUGAGCUACUUUUUUCCCUCACAAAAUGUGGCAGAUGGAAUUGCAUAAUUGUGCUCUUACUGUCCUCAAAAACAACCUAGAGAUAAAACAACAACAACAACAACAAACAAAUUACAUAGUCCUAAGGCACCUUGAAAGCUAGUAAGAAGAUAUGUUUGAGUUGUUUUAGUUCAAAAUAUUGGUUUUACUGGUUGAUCAUUAACUUGUGAACUAAUAUUAUUGGCUGGAAUUUCGUAAUAAUUGUGUUUUUCUUUUGAUCUAGUUUCUCUUACUAAGCAUCUAUACAAUGGCUUUGUAAAGGCUCAGAAUGAAUGUUACGAUUACGAUUGUUAACCAAUUAAUUGUGCAACAAUCAGUUGAUAGAGGCAUUUGGCUUUGCAGUGGUUAAAGUGAUAUUUUACUGAUAAGCCGCCUCCACUCACUAAAAAAGAAAAAGAAAACAAUAAAUAAAAGUUAUUUUAUUUACAAGGUAGUCCUUGAGUUAUGUCUGUAACAGAGCCUGACCAGAAUAACAGAAUUGGAAGGGACCUUGGAGGUCUUCUAGUCCAACUCCCUGCUCAAGCAGGAGACUCUACCAUUUCAGACUGAUGGUUGUUCAGUCUCUUCUUGAGUGAUGGAGCACAACUUCUGAAGGCAAGUCAUUCCACUGAUUAAUCAUUCUCAGUAUCAGGAAAUUUCUACUUUGUUCUAGGUUGCUUCUCUCCAUAGUUGCUUCUUGUCUUGCUUUCUUGUGCUUUGGGAAAUAAAUUGACUCCCUCUUCGUGGCAGCCCCUCAAAUAUUGGAACACUGCUAUCAUGUCAACCCUAGUCCUUGUAACUCAUAAUGGUAAUAAAGCAAGUCACUAUAUGAUUGGACCCAUUUUUACAAUCUUUUUUGCAGCGGUCAUAAAGGGAACCCCAUGGUCAUAAAACAAACCCAUUGUUCCCCAUGGAAACAAUUGCUGAAAACCAGAAAUAAAUGCCUGUUUUCAGCAAAAAUGUUGUAAAAUGUGGUCAUGUGACCAUGGGACACCCCAAACUCUUGUAAAUGCAGGCUGGUGGCCAAGCUCCAGAUAUGCAGUCACAUCCACCCACGCUAAUCAUAAUGGCCACCAGGAAGCUUAUAUGGGGCAGGAUGUAAAUUUUGGUUAGAGGGCAUGGCCAAGGCUGCCUUCUGAUUGGUACAGGGAGGAGGGGAGUGGCCAACAGGCCUAUAAAAAGGUCUGUUGGCCAUGAGCUCCAGAGUAGUGUCCAGUGGUGGGCUGCUACUGGUUCGCCCCAGUUUGGGUGAACCGGUAGCAGCAGUGGGAGGCUCCGCCCACCUGCCCAGACGUCAUCAAAUACGAUCUGCGCAUGCGCAGAAGCUUCUGCGCAUGUGCAGAUGUGGUGCACGUGAGCGAACCGGUAGCAAAGGGCUGCUGAGUAGCUUGAUGGGCAAAGGGGAUAUAAAAGAAGUGUCUGUUCACUGGAAAGAAAAUCUGAAGUGGGGUCAGGGUCUGUGCCCCAACAAAGCAAUACACCCUUUGUAAGCUUCUGCUGAUUCCAUCAAAGGAAUUGAAAGGUUCCUUUGGCUCCUGCAAAUUCCACUUCAGAAGUGCAACGGGGGCAUAUUUUCCUUCUGCUGAAGUUUUAUACAUAUAAAACUUAAAGAAAACAAUAUUCAAGAGCUGCCUCUGAAUUUGAAAUAUCUCCAAAACAGAUGAUACUUUCUGUUUAAGGUCUAUAAAAUAACAUGCUGCAGUAUCAUUAUCAGACAAUGGACUUUAAUUCAAAUGUCAAAUUGUGUUUCACAAGAAUGUUAACUAUUAGUAUUUUAAGAUAGUUUAAAUAUUGAUUUUUCAUUUAGAGAGGUUAUUGUAUUAUACUUUUUAUAUGAAAAAAAAAGGUCACUUUUAUAUUUAUUUGAUGGGAUUUUUUGUUACCUUUUAAUCUGUCCCGUUAUUCCUAUCCUAUCUUAGUUUGUAUUUUAAUAUUUAUGAAAUAAAGAUAUUUGUAAAAAAAAAAAGAUGGAACUCAUUUUAAAUCAAUUAUCUUUUCCUCCUCCCUCCCUCCCUAUUUCUUCUCUGUCCCUCUCUUUCUUUCCUUUGUUGAAAAAGUGGAUGGCUUUCAUCCCAGAUCUGUGUUUCUUGCUCAAAACAUAUGAGAACAGAUUCAAUCACGAUGGGGGGCACAAAAUUUUCUGGAGGUAGCAAAUGUCACUUUACAGACAAUAAGAGAAUUUUUUUUUUUUUAAUUUGAUUUAUAUGCCGCCCUUCUCCGAAGACUCAGGGUGGCUUACAGUGCGUUAAGCAAUAGCCUUCAUCCUUUUGUAUAUUUAUACAAAGUCAGCUUAUUGCCCCCACAAACUGGGUCCUCAUUUCACCUACCUUAGAAAGGAUGGAAGGCUGAGUCAACCUUGAGCCUUGGCGAGAUUCGAACCCUGCAGUAAUUGCAGGCAGCUGGUCUUAAUAAGCUUAAUAACAGGGUGCCUUAAACCCCUGUACUACCCUGUACUUGCCCUUCAUCUAGAUCAGUGAUGGCUAAUCUUUUCUGGACCGAGUGCCCAAAACGUAUGCACCUGUAUGUGUGAAUGCGCACGCGCACGCCCAAACCUCAAAAAUGCAAUGUAAGUGCGCACCUGGCCCCCCACGCAUGCACGCGUGGCCCCCUGCAUGCUUCCCUGUAUGCUCCCAUGGAUGCACAUAUGGCCCCACACACUUGCCCUGUGCAUGCACACACCCCACACAUGCGCCCUGCGCAUGCACGUGCAAGCCCGCACGUCUCCCAUCUCCCCAUGCGUGGCAGAGACCCAAAGACCAGCUGGCUGGUGGGAGGCACAUGCACAUGCGCAUGCGCAGCGGAGCUGAACUGGGGCGAUGGCUCAUGUGCCAUGAGAGAGGGCGCUGCAUGCCAUGUGUGGCAUGCGUGCCAUAGGUUCACCAUCACGGGUCUAGAUCAAUGUUUCUCAACCUUGGCAAUUUUAAGAUGUGCGGAUUUCAAUUACCAGAGUUCACAUCACUAUUGAUCUGGUGGAAAAUUAAACUUUCCCUUUUCUCUGAUUUAGGGCAUUUCACUUUUAAUCUUUUUUAUUGUUUACAUUUGGAAAUGUUAUAGGUCUGUAUUGGACUAAACAAGUGAUUUCUUAUUAAUUGUAUUUAUUCGAUACACGAGUAUGAGUCAAAAAGAGGGCUGUGAAAAUAUUUUCAACUAGACAACUAGACACAAGAACAGUUUUUUCCCGAAUGCCAUCACUCUGCUAAACAAAUAAUUCCCUCAAUUCUGUCAAACUAUUCACUGUCUGCAUUAUUACUAUUAAUCUUCUCAUCGUUCCUAUCACCCAUCUCCUCCCACUUAUGACUGCAUGAUUGUAACUUUGUUGCUUGUAUCCUUACGAUUUAUAUUGAUAUUGUUUCCUAGUAUGAUUCGAUUGCUUAUUUGUACCCUAUGACUAUCAUUAAGUGUUGUACUUAUGAUUCUUGAUGAAUGUAUCUUUUCUUUUUAUGUCACCUGAGAGUGUAUGCACCAAAGAUCACACUUGGCCAAUAAAGAAUUCUAUCUUCUAUCUAUUCUCUUUGAAGCUAA